UGACGCGGGCCACCCCAAGGGCUCUCUCUCUACAACUCUAAAAGUAUUUGCUGCCACCACAUGUUUUUAGAGGGACAUGACCCCUGGAUCAACUGAGGAGUAUUCAGUUGAUCCCAAUUUGAAAGUUAAACUACGUCAUAAAAUCAAGUGACGUAAUAGUACAAGACUUUAACAAGAGCGAGAAUUCUAAUUAAUCAGAUAUGCACACGUGACAGAAAUGCAUACCACUGAUUGGCUAAGAGUUUUGCGUGCCUGGGCCUUUAACUAAUUUUCCCCAGACCAUGCUUUCAAACUACAAUCUCAAGCCGCUCAUCCGUUGUGCUCUACAAGACCGAAGAGAAAGUUCACCAAGAUGUCCGUUUUAAGUGCAACAAGCUUCAUUUAAACUGAGCAAGAGACAAUUCAAGACUUCUUGGUAAAUAUUCUGUACUAAAUUAAUUGGUAUAAUUUGUAAUAAUUGACUUGAAUUCAUCUCGGUCUUUUACUCGUCUCUGCAACUUGCUCUCGUCAUACACACGUGUACUAUUAAUCAAUGCACGUAAACCACCACAUGCUCCGUACUUUGACAAUUUCUCGCACAUGCACUAGACUGGCCAUGUAUAAGCAGCCAUUCUCAACUCGUAUCGGGCCUCUCAUUGCACUGUCUUAGCCUCUCGCUUUUACAGUCUCGUACUUCUCCCAUUCCAAGCAAGGUUCGAUGGCUUAAAAGGGUCAUUUGCAUCAAGCAAACUUUGGCUAAAUAAUUUACUCUCAAUCUUGUCUCGUGAUCAUCAUUCAUCUUAACUACUAUUGGUCAGGCAGUGCUGCAAUAAAUUAAUCUAAGAAUGCUUUGUAAUAACAUGUAACUUGAACUUUAAUAUAAAAUUGCUGUUUGUAGUCUGCUACAUUUCAACGUUUAUACAUCUAUUUACAUUGAGCUCAGGACAAUCCGACAUAGUAAACUGGUUCACCCCAAGAGAAGUGAAAAUUCUAUAAGCCUAAGGUACAUUAGAUUAAUUUCACAUUCCUUACUUUCUAUUUCAAAUUCAUUCAUACCAUAGCUUAUCUCCGAGUAGGCCUGUUAUUAUAACUCGCGGUCUUCCAAACAAAUCCAUCCUAGUUUCUUAGUUAGUUUUAUCUCUUCUUUUCCAAUUCAAUUUCCUAAAACAUGUUGAUGCGACCAGCGCACAACACAACCUUUCCUUUUAAUAUAAAAUUCCAAUUGUCUCAAAACCAGACCAACUCCAACACUCCCCUCCUGGGCGUAACCUGAACUCAAAUAACUGGCCACAAACAUGUAAACAUGACCACUCUGUCGGUCCAUGCCUACUAAACUUUCUAAUCACCGUCGCUUAUAGUAACUGGCCUCAGAGAUGCUAUCUCCCAGAAACUAUGCAAAGAGAAAUCUUUACUAAGAAACAACUUCCUGUGUUUAACCUGGACCAUUACUUUCAGAGUUGAAACUCUAGUAUCUCUUACAUAGGUAAACAUUAAAUAAAUUAAGCAUGAUGGUGCACUAUGGGGGAGUUAGAGAGGGGUGGGGCAUCUAAGUACUUCAAUCCUGGUUUUUCCUCUGCUCAUCAUCAUCAAAGAUUAUAGGCCUCCAUGAUGGCCUAAAAGAAUGAUCAUCUCAUCAUAAAUUGCUUUAUGUUCUGUCUAAUUCCAUCGAAUGAUCAUCAAUAAGUUCAUCACAUUGCCAUUCCUUGUCACUUUCCUCAGCACCUGGAACCUCUGGUUGUGAUGGGGGAGGGGGGGGGGGUAGGGGGACUAGUGACACCACCAAGACUAUCACACUUGAAAAUUUAGUAAGCGUAAAUCAUUUCAUUCACAACAAAAAAAUAUAUCCAUGUAGUAAUACAAAAUGACCAAAGUAUCUAUACUUAAAAAAUGUCGGUCUAUGCAAUGACCACAGUGUCUAUACUUAGAAUAUUAUUAUACCAUGAAUGACCAAAAUGUCUAUUCUUUGAAUAUUUUUGAUCUAUGAAAUGAACAGUGUCUACACUUAGAAUAUUAUUUGUACCAUGAAAUGACCAAAGUGUCCAUUCUUAGAAUAUUUUUGAUCUAUGAAAUGGCCAAGGUGUCAACACUUAAAAAUAUUAUUUUCUACCAUGAAAUGACCAAAAUGUCUAUUCUUAGAAUAUUUUUGAUCUAAGAAAUGAACACAGUGUCUACACUUAGAAUAUUUUUGAUAACAUGAAAUGACCAAAGUGUCUAUACUUAGAAAAUGUUGAUCUAUGAAAUGACCAAGGUGUCAAUACUUAGAAUAUUUUGAUCUAUGAAAUGACCAAGGUGUCAAUACUUAGAAUAUUAUCAUACCAUGAAUGACCAAAAUGUCUAUUCUUAGAAUAUUUUGAUCUAUGAAAUGACCAAGGUGUCAAUACUUAGAAUAUUUUGAUCUAUGAUACAUUCUAUGGUGAUUAAUACAUUAAUUGGUACAAAUCAUGAAUUUAAGGCACUAUGAGACACACUCAACUUCAGGGCUUAGCCAAAAGACUAAGAGUAAGUAAUAAAUUCAAUGUUCAAGGUCUAUAAUAAUUAAAGCCAGAGAUAUUUGUUAACAAUGCCAGGGUCCCAGACCCUACACGUAACUGGUGCUGGAAUCAUCUUGUAUUUAGUUGUUGAUUCUAUAAUAAAUAAUUACAUACAAUGAAUGCAGUGAGUGAUUGUUUUCUAUCCAUGUCCCAAGUAAGAGAACCAAAAUAGUGACACUUAGAAAAUUUUCGACUGAAAGGCCAAAAUAGUGACACUUAGAAAAUUUUCGACUAAAAGGCCAAAAUAGUGACACUUAGAACAUUUUCGACUAAAAGGCCAAAAUAGUGGCACUUAGAAAAUGUUCACCAUUGUUCCAAUCUAAUGACAAAAACAAUACAAGAAUUCAGUUAAAAUUAUCUCAACAUACACUUAAUAGAUCAUUUAAAUUAUCUUCAUUAGAUAUUAAAAUACCUCUUGAAUGAAAUUUCUUACAAAACCCUCAUUUUAAAAUCCAGGGUUCAAGAAUCAAUUUUUCCUUCACAAAAUCUUUCUUUCAUCCUAUAAAUUCUUUAAAAUCAAUUUUAGGAAGCAGUCUACAUCAACCUCAUAUUUCUUUCUCCUAUAGAAUCACGAUAAAGGAUUACUUACAGUGUGAGAUGUUCAAGAUUGAAAUUGAGAAGAAAAGAAAAUUGUUUACAGAUGGAGAUGACCGUGACCUCUCAAGAUGGCGACUGGAACAAGUUGUGCCGAAUUUGUGCCUCCCGCCCCGUAUUUAUACCCCAAAAUCCUGUCCCCUGAUUGGUCAAAAAUACCCCGCCCAACGUGAAACUUCUAUGACGUCACAAUGCAUGCGCGUCACUCAUAGUCUGCCGACCAAAGGCCAAUACCACUAUGACGUCACAAUCAAUUCCAACCCUAACUAUCACAGGACGUAUAAAAUGAUGAUUGCGGAAACGUGACAAUCAGCCAGCUUCCCUGAAAUACAUUAUUACUGGGAAAUGUCAGAGAUCCAAUGGGACCAAGUUCUUAGCAGUUCACACCUAGUCAGAAGUACACAAUUGAGAACCAUGCCGAUCAGCAAGUGUUAUUUACAAUCUAAUGAGGAACAGGAUAUCUGAAUGGAAAAAUUGCAAGGUUUCCCACUUCCUAAGCUGUUUAAGUACUGGUAUCACAACAUAAGUGCCAAGAAGAGAUAUGAAAUGGUCUCAAAAAUUUUGCUGGUGCCCCCCCCCCCCCCACCGAUGCCGUGACCCAUGGUACGCCACUGCAAGUCUUCAUAAAUUAUGUAGGGUUAUUAAGUUGCAUUUAUUGUUAUCUUCAUUUUUAAAAAAUGUGAAAUGGGCUACCACUGCAAUAAUAUAUAAAUAGACUAUAUUUCAAAAAUAGAUUGAAUUCUAACCACAGUGACAGUAGACAAAUCAAAUUUUGUUAAUGAUUCGCUAAUGUAUUGAUUGGGGAAGGCACUCUUUAGGAUUCUGGCAUUGUGUCCCCCCCCCCCCCCCCCUUAUGAGGAGUGCUCUCACAUCAGUAGACUAUUUCUUGUCAGCAAAUUUGAAAGGAAUUUACCAAUUUUUUUGAGUGACAAACUUUUGUGGAAGAAAAUAAACGAAUAUCAAAGGUUUUUAUGCUCUUUUAUGGAAUAUUAACUAUAGGCUCAUCGAGAUCCUUUGAAUGAAAUUUUAACAAACAUUGUACAAUGUAGAAAAAUGUACUUAAUCCUAUUUUUGUACAUUUAUAUACCCACCCCAUACUACCCCUACCCAGUAACAGCCCUUUUUAGCUAUGUAUUGCCUUCAUUUUUAAAAAUACAAUUUAAUGCUUGGUAGAUGCUAAUUAUUAUUUUUAUGUUAAUGUCAAUGUUUUAGAAAAUGGAUUCCUUAAUAAACAUGUUAAUUUUGAAUUGAA